rnacentral:lncRNA from 1 species
AAAUAUUUAUUUUUGAUAAGUGCCAAGCUUAAUAGGAAAUAAAUCGAAAUGAUCCUAGGGAUAGAAGAUAAUAAUUUCUUUGACUUAGAAGUCUUGUGAUUCCAAAGUCCUUAAAAUGAAAAGAAACUCUAUCUCCCAUUCUACCCUACCCCCAACACACACACACAUAUGCACACACACUUCACCACCACCAUAGCUGCCAAGCUUCAUAAGUUCCUCCAUCUCUGCACUGCUUGUUCAUUAGGAGGGUGCCCCUUAAGCAGCACUGGGGCCAGGCUUCAGCUGCUCAGUCAUUCUCAAUUUGUCUCAGCCAUAUUAUUUCUUCUACCAGCCAUUUCGGAGCAUGUCUAUGCCUUCCUUCCAUCGUUACUCCAUCUUAUUUAUUUUUUAGUAUUUUCUUAACAGUUCCUCCAGACGCUCUCAUUAAGUGCUGGGCUAAUUAACCUCCUGUUUCUGAGCAGUGGUGCUGUGGUGAGCUGCCUGGCCUUGCAGGAGGGCUCCUUGUUGCGUGGGAGGAAGUCGGCCCAGCUCCAGUCCGCUUACACACCUACUAAUGGCUCACAACCACACCUGGCACCUACUUAGCAAGGUUGUUUUUGUUUUUGUUUUUUGAUUUUUUUUUCAAAACUGAUGUUCUUUAUUCCAGACAAGCAUACACCAUGGCCCCCGCCACCCUCACUCACUGACAAUAUCAGUGAUUGAAAUCUCUCAGCCCCAGAAACCGGAGCUCUCCAUUAACGUUGCAGACAUGUUUUCCAUGCUACAGACUCAGUAGGCACUUAGCAGCUCCUCUCCAAGAUGUUCUGGUUCAUGGUUAAGAGCAGCUGAUACAGCCAGUACCACAGAGAGCCUGCACAGAAUCAAAAGCUAGGGAUCUCUGGAAUUCUGAGGUAUGCAAAAUGACAUGUCACCACUGUGGCUUUUCCUCCCCAUUUUUAUAUCCAAGCGAAAAUACAUUUGAAUCUCUUCUCCUAGAUUCCUAGCAUACCCAGGUUUUAGGGUCAUGGUUGAUGGAACAACUGUUCAAUUCUGAACCCCACAUUUAUAAGAAGGAGAGCAGUAAAAUAAACCCUCUCCCUGACCUAUUUCAUAUAUAGCUAAGAGAGGAAUUUAGUAUUUUGUCCAUCCUUGGCUGAGUCUUUCUAGGUUGGGAUAAUUGAUGAAUCACUUUUUACUCAUUCAUCUUUGUGUAUCCUGUGGACAAACUUUUUUUUUUUUUACCAUAAUAGCAUUGUAAGUUAUUAGAUGCUCUCUACUUUUUCUUCCUUGCUCUAAAUAACAUUAGUGUUUCACUUUAUAGUUAGCAAAACACUUUUAAGCCUGUCAUGUUAUUGAUUCCUCAGUUGGAUGAAAGUGUUAGCACCAUCUGAGAUUAAGAAAGACUUGCCCAAAGCCACCCAAAUGAAAAUGAGAACACCAGAAAAAAAAAAAAGGAGAGAAACUUAACUGCCUGAAUCUCUGGAGUCUCCCCAGGCCUAUUAGGUUUAGCCCUGAUGUUACCUCCCUCCAUGCCCAACCCUUUUCUUCUUUCCUUCUCACCUCCACAUUCUGCAGACCUUUCCCUUCUACCUCUACCCUCUCAUUUGUUCCUGACCCCCUUUCCCAGAGCAUGGCACAAACAUUUUCAAGGCAUAAAUUU